GCUACACAUGCAGUCGAGCGGCAGCGGAAGUAGCUUGCUACUUUGCCGGCGAGCGGCGGACGGGUGAGUAAUGUCUGGGAAACUGCCUGAUGGAGGGGGAUAACUACUGGAAACGGUAGCUAAUACCGCAUGACCUCGAAAGAGCAAAGUGGGGGAUCUUCGGACCUCACGCCAUCGGAUGUGCCCAGAUGGGAUUAGCUAGUAGGUGAGGUAAUGGCUCACCUAGGCGACGAUCCCUAGCUGGUCUGAGAGGAUGACCAGCCACACUGGAACUGAGACACGGUCCAGACUCCUACGGGAGGCAGCAGUGGGGAAUAUUGCACAAUGGGCGCAAGCCUGAUGCAGCCAUGCCGCGUGUGUGAAGAAGGCCUUAGGGUUGUAAAGCACUUUCAGCGAGGAGGAAGGCAUCAUACUUAAUACGUGUGGUGAUUGACGUUACUCGCAGAAGAAGCACCGGCUAACUCCGUGCCAGCAGCCGCGGUAAUACGGAGGGUGCAAGCGUUAAUCGGAAUUACUGGGCGUAAAGCGCACGCAGGCGGUUUGUUAAGUCAGAUGUGAAAUCCCCGCGCUUAACGUGGGAACUGCAUUUGAAACUGGCAAGCUAGAGUCUUGUAGAGGGGGGUAGAAUUCCAGGUGUAGCGGUGAAAUGCGUAGAGAUCUGGAGGAAUACCGGUGGCGAAGGCGG
rnacentral:rRNA from 1 species